rnacentral:rRNA from 1 species
GACGAACGCUGGCGGCGUGCCUAAUACAUGCAAGUAGAACGCACAGUUUAUACCGUAGCUUGCUACACCAUAGACUGUGAGUUGCGAACGGGUGAGUAACGCGUAGGUAACCUGCCUGGUAGCGGGGGAUAACUAUUGGAAACGAUAGCUAAUACCGCAUAAUAUUGAUUAUUGCAUGAUAAUUGAUUGAAAGAUGCUAUUGCAUCACUACCAGAUGGACCUGCGUUGUAUUAGCUAGUAGGUGAGGUAACGGCUCACCUAGGCGACGAUACAUAGCCGACCUGAGAGGGUGAUCGGCCACACUGGGACUGAGACACGGCCCAGACUCCUACGGGAGGCAGCAGUAGGGAAUCUUCGGCAAUGGACGAAAGUCUGACCGAGCAACGCCGCGUGAGUGUAGAAGGUUUUCGGAUCGUAAAGCUCUGUUGUAAGAGAAGAACGGGUGUGAGAGUGGAAAGUUCACACUGUGACGGUAUCUUACCAGAAAGGGACGGCUAACUACGUG